AGUGAACGCUGGCGGUAGGCCUAACACAUGCAAGUCGAACGGCAGCACAGUAAGAGCUUGCUCUUACGGGUGGCGAGUGGCGGACGGGUGAGGAAUACAUCGGAAUCUACUUUUUCGUGGGGGAUAACGUAGGGAAACUUACGCUAAUACCGCAUACGACCUACGGGUGAAAGCAGGGGAUCUUCGGACCUUGCGCGAUUGAAUGAGCCGAUGUCGGAUUAGCUAGUUGGCGGGGUAAAGGCCCACCAAGGCGACGAUCCGUAGCUGGUCUGAGAGGAUGGUCAGCCACACUGGAACUGGGGCACGGUCCAGACUCCUACGGGAGGCAGCAGUGGGGAAUAUUGGACAAUGGGGGCAAGCCUGAUCCAGCCAUACCGCGUGGGUGAAGAAGGCCUUCGGGUUGUAAAGCCCUUUUGUUGGGAGAGAAAAGCAGCAGGUUAAUACCCCGCUGUUCUGACGGUACCCAAAGAAUAAGCACCGGCUAACUUCGUG
rnacentral:rRNA from 1 species